rnacentral:tRNA from 3 species
GGUCCUGUGGUGCAGCCUGGAGUGCACGCCGCCCUGUCAAGGCGGAGGUCGCGAGUUCAAAUCUCGUCAGGACCGCAA